rnacentral:rRNA from 1 species
AGUGAACGCUGGCGGUAGGCCUAACACAUGCAAGUCGAACGGCAGCACAGUAAGAGCUUGCUCUUACGGGUGGCGAGUGGUGGACGGGUGAGGAAUACAUCGGAAUCUACUUUUUCGUGGGGGAUAACGUAGGGAAACUUACGCUAAUACCGCAUACGACCUACGGGUGAAAGCAGGGGAUCUUCGGACCUUGCGCGAUUGAAUGAGCCGAUGUCGGAUUAGCUAGUUGGCGGGGUAAAGGCCCACCAAGGCGAGGAUCCGUAGCUGGUCUGAGAGGAUGAUCAGCCACACUGGAACUGAGACACGGUCCAGACUCCUACGGGAGGCAGCAGUGGGGAAUAUUGGACAAUGGGCGCAAGCCUGAUCCAGCCAUACCGCGUGGGUGAAGAAGGCCUUCGGGUUGUAAAGCCCUUUUGUUGGGAAAGAAAAGCAGCAGGUUAAUACCCCGCUGUUCUGACGGUACCCAAAGAAUAAGCACCGGCUAACUUCGUG